GGCGACAUGGCCGAGUGGUUAUGGCGGUCGGUUCAAGUUUGAUGGGUUUUAUUCGACUGACGAGAGUCUCGAGGGUUCGAGUCCCUCUGUCGUCA
rnacentral:tRNA from 1 species